rnacentral:rRNA from 1 species
CCUACGGGUGACAGCAGUGAGGAAUAUUGGUCAAUGGGCGAGAGCCUGAACCAGCCAAGUCGCGUGAGGGAGUACUGCCCUAUGGGUUGUAAACCUCUUUUGUCGGGGAGCAAAAGCCGGACGUGUCCGGCUGUGAGAUUACCCGAAGAAAAAGCAUCGGCUAACUCCGUGCCAGCAGCCGCGGUAAUACGGGGGAUGCGAGCGUUAUCCGGAUUUAUUGGGUUUAAGGGGUGCUCAGGCGGAUUUUUAAGUCAGCGGUAAAAUCGUGGGGCUCAACCCCAUCCAGCCGUUGAAACUGGGGAUCUAGAGUGUGCGAGAGGUAUGCGGAAUGCGUGGUGUAGCGGUGAAAUGCAUAGAUAUCACGCAGAACCCCGAUUGCGAAGGCAGCAUACCGGUGCACAACUGACGCUCAGGCACGAAAGCGUGGGUAUCGAACAGGAUUAGAUACCCGAGUAGUC